GCCGCCAUAGCUCAGGGGUAGAGCGUUCCCUUGGUAAGGGAGAGGUCCACAGUUCAAAUCUGUGUGGCGGCACCA
rnacentral:tRNA from 1 species